rnacentral:rRNA from 1 species
GACGAACGCUGGCGGCGUGCCUAAUACAUGCAAGUAGAACGCUGAAGAGAGGAGCUUGCUCUUCUUGGAUGAGUUGCGAACGGGUGAGUAACGCGUAGGUAACCUGCCUUGUAGCGGGGGAUAACUAUUGGAAACGAUAGCUAAUACCGCAUAACAAUGGAUGACCCAUGUCAUUUAUUUGAAAGGGGCAAAUGCUCCACUACAAGAUGGACCUGCGUUGUAUUAGCUAGUAGGUGAGGUAACGGCUCACCUAGGCGACGAUACAUAGCCGACCUGAGAGGGUGAUCGGCCACCCUGGGACUGAGACACGGCCCAGACUCCUACGGGAGGCAGCAGUAGGGAAUCUUCGGCAAUGGGGGCAACCCUGACCGAGCAACGCCGCGUGAGUGAAGAAGGUUUUCGGAUCGUAAAGCUCUGUUGUAAGUCAAGAACGAGUGUGAGAGUGGAAAGUUCACACUGUGACGGUAGCUUACCAGAAAGGGACGGCUAACUACGUG